rnacentral:rRNA from 1 species
UAGGGAAUCUUCGGCAAUGGACGAAAGUCUGACCGAGCAACGCCGCGUGAGUGAAGAAGGUUUUCGGAUCGUAAAACUCUGUUGUUAGAGAAGAACAAGGACGUUAGUAACUGAACGUCCCCUGACGGUAUCUAACCAGAAAGCCACGGCUAACUACGUGCCAGCAGCCGCGGUAAUACGUAGGUGGCAAGCGUUGUCCGGAUUUAUUGGGCGUAAAGCGAGCGCAGGCGGUUUCUUAAGUCUGAUGUGAAAGCCCCCGGCUCAACCGGGGAGGGUCAUUGGAAACGGGGAGACUUGAGUGCAGAAGAGGAGAGUGGAAUUCCAUGGGUAGCGGUGAAAUGCGUAGAUAUAUGGAGGAACACCAGUGGCGAAGGCGGCUCUCUGGUCUGUAACGGACGCUGAGGCUCGAAAGCGUGGGGAGCAAACAGG